rnacentral:rRNA from 1 species
UACAGAGGGUGCAAGCGUUAAUCGGAAUUACUGGGCGUAAAGCGUGCGUAGACGGUUACAUAAGUCGGGUGUGAAAGCCCCGGGCUCAACCUGGGAAUUGCAUUCGAGACUGCGUAGCUAGGGUGCGGAAGAGGGAAGCGGAAUUUCCGGUGUAGCGGUGAAAUGCGUAGAUAUCGGAAGGAACACCAGUGGCGAAGGCGGCUUCCUGGCCUGUUCUUGACGCUGAGGCGCGAAAGCUAGGGGAGCAAACGGG